CGGGGCUCCCCCCGCCCCAGGCGCGGGCCGCGGUCCCCGCCGGGCCCGGCCACGUCCGCUACCCACGAGGCCGCCAUAAAAGGCAAGCGGCCGCAGGUCGCGCAGCCAAACUUAGUCAUCCGGCCCGCGGGCCGCCGGGCUGCGCGUAGCAGCUUCCUCCCCGAACUUCCCGUUUUCCGAGGGGCCCGGGGAGGGGGCCGAGGUGCGGCUGGGCCUUUCGAAACGCCUCGGCUCCCAGCAACUGGGGGCUUGGCCAGGGGGCGUCCCCGGCGGGCGCGUUCAAGCCGGAGCUGCGAGUCCGCGCGGCGCCUCCAGGAGACGCCUGCCAGGGAGCCCCAGGCCUCUGCUCGGGGAAAUCUCAGCCGGCGGCCAGAAGCCAUCUGUGCAAUGUGAGAGCGUCGGGCCGAAACCACCCCGACAGCGUCCCUGGAGCAGGGAUCGGUCGGGGGUAUGGGACAGCAUGCAGCGCAAAGUUUUGGAUGAGUCUUCCUGACACAGGAGACGUGGAUGCUCGGCGGUGACCCAUGGCAGAGGUGGGAAUUCUUCUGAUCCGUUCUGGCCUCAGCCUCCUUAGCCAAGGGGCUCGGACCACAUCUUCUGGCUCCUCCGACAGUCUCCACCUUCCAAGACCAAUAUUACCUCCCAGAUGGACCCAGGAUCCCCACUUCAUUUUAUUUCUACCCCUCUCGGGACAUCUGUGUUUCCAAUUGGCCAAAGGGCAAGCUAAUGGGAGAGUCUGAGACUUUGUGGAUUCAGCAGGAAAGUGUUUGGCAGUUGACUGGUAAUGUCUGCCAUGAGUGCAAAAGUGAAAAUAGGGGGAUGCCUGGGUGGCUCAGUUGGUUGGGCAGCUGCCUUUGGCUCGGGUCAUGACCCCACUGUCCUGGGAUCGA